CGAAUUUUGAGAACAAGCUGGACUCUUCAGUGACACUGGAAUGCUUUAAGAUUUGAGUGCACGCACUCUGCAUUAAACAAAUCUUACAAGUCUGCGUUCUAGCAGUCAGCCUGGUUGAAUAUAACCUCGACAUGGUAGGUUGAAGUUACAGAAAUUGAAGUAUUCUAAUAUACUAACCCAAGGUUUCUAAAUCUGAUUUUGUUCACUGAACGUAAUAAUGGAAAGUGUCCAUUAUAUGUACUUGUGCAAAAAGGAAAAAAAAAAAAAAAAAAAAAAGCAUUCCACUUCAAUACCUAUAACCUUGGCAAAAAUAUAUCUGAAAUCAAAGACAGCAUUCUCAGAUAGAACAGAAUGUGCCAAUCCUCCAAAUACAGGAUGAAGUACCAGAAGGAUGAUUGUGAUUUACCAGGGCCAGCAGAGAUUGCUUGACUGUAUAUAUGCUCUGCUCCUUCACACUGCACCAAAUUUGCUGAUAACUCACUGUAGUGACUCUGAAGAAUUUUGUUCUGGCAUAGUCCUUUACCAACAUUGGUCUGUAAUAUGAUCAACUGCAUAAAAGAUUAAAUGUUUCCUGUAGAAAAAAGCUCUUUAUAGACAUAUGAAUUGGUAGAAGUCCAGAGUUAGCAUCUCUUCAUAGACUUCUUGCUGAAACUUUGGUGGCUUGUUACGAAGGGUUUAUUUUCCAUGACUCAUAAAUAGUUUUUGAACCUUGCCUUCAAUAUUCAUGAAAUAAUAGAGAAGCAUGAGGAUUUCUGCUUUUUAUUGGUCCACAUUUUCACAUAAUCUAUCCUUAAGAAAAACCCAUAUCAGACUUCAUAUAAAAUCUUGGAAGAACUGUCUCAACAAGCAACUAUGAAUGAUCUAUCUUCCUAAAUAGUUUAUAGAGACUGAGUACAUGCAUUGGCUAUCUUAUUUAGUGUGUGGGAAGCUGAUUAUGCUUAUUUAAGAAAAUAUGAGAUAAAAAUGAUAUUGCAUUAUUUAAUGGUACAAUCAAACCAAUCAUACCACUUUUUUUUUUUUUUUUUUUUUUUUUUUUUUUUGUACUAGAGUGUACAGUAACACUUGCCCUAGGGGUUUGUCAUACAAUAUGCCAACUAGACUCAUAAAAAUCACAAACGACUAUUAUCUGAAAUCACAGGCACGAAAAGAUUUUAAAUGACUGCAUGAAAAUUUGGUUUGGGUGCUUUGAGUGACAAGCAAUUCCAUAUAGGUAAUCUGCACUUUCUGUUCAAAUUUUAAAAAUAUCAAUAACACUAAAUAUUGCCUUAGAUGUUGAAGCCAUUCAGAUUAAAUCUUCCACCCAGCCCCACUGACUGCAAUGAUAAAUGCAUGUGAUAUUUAUAUGUUAUUUAUGUGCAGAAUGUGAUUUUACUUUACUGCUUUCCAGUACUAAUGUUGGUUAGCAAAAUUUCAUUAAUUUUGUUUUCCUUCUGCUGCUGUGGUCCUUCCUUUUCCAUUUCCCUCCAUUUACUUAUAUUUAUUUUUUCCAAUAUCCCAUGGCUUAUGUUCCAGUGUUCUAUUCAGAACACAAUGGCAUCAAAGCAUGAAGAGAUUACCAGAAAAGAGAUCCACGCCUAAUUUCUGUGACCAUUUCUGUACUCUGCAAGGUGUUAUUCAAGCUGCUAUGACAACUAGAGUGGGUAAGAAAGAGUUCUGGACCUUAAUCUCGUGUUGCUUCUCCACAGGGUUUCCAAGAGCAACAUCCUGGCAGAAUACAAAAUGAAAGUGGAAUAUAAGUACCCUCAUUAGUCAUCCUCUUUUUUACCAAUGGGGGCAGAAUAUCCUUUUACAUGAGCUCUGGAAAAAGAGCAGCAGUGAGAAAAUAACCUAUAGUUCUUAAGGCAUAAAUGUUUCUUGUUGAUGUUACUUUUAUUUUAAUUUAAUUGUGUUUGGAAUGACAACCCUAAAAAUAACCUGUGGUUCUUGCUGCAAUAUGGAAGGAAAUAACCAGAUAUCCUGGUUAUCCAAAGUGUAAGACAUUUUAAUGUAACAUGGGGAGUUAUGUUUGUUUGACCGUUAAUGAUUAUUUGUUUGUUUUCAAGAGGUGUUCGGAACAUCUGAAGAUAAAAGAAAAACCUCUACUGAUAUAAUUAGUGAAAAGUCUGCCAGAAUAAAUAAAUAAUGUUGAGAAUGGUAAAAAGUCAAUAUUUCCAUUGAGAUGAAUCUCUUCAAAACUUAAGUGAUUGCACAAAUAAAUGAUUUUCUAUAAGAAAUACAAUUAUGGUAAUUAAUACUAUAGCUUUUAAAAUAAUUAUAUAAUGCCAGAUAGAAUACUUAUAAUAAAGCAUUCUUUAGCAAAUUUCUAAGUAUGUCUAUAUAUCUAAAAUCUAAGAAGUCUAAUACAUUCUUAAUGAUUAAAACCUUUGAGCACAAGUUACUUCAUACGUUGCUAUCAGUUUCAGGCUCAAAGUAUUAA